AUGGCCAGCAAGAGUCAGAAUAGGGAUCUCACCAGCAACUGGGGAAGAGUGGCUCAGAGUGGGAGUAAGCUAAAGUCAGAGAGGACAGCAGGGGCAAGAGCAACUUGGACCCCAGGGACUAUCCUGAAAUGGCUGGGAGCUGGGAGCUGUGAGAGGGGGCAGGAAUCUAGUCCUGCAAGUCCAGAGUGGAUUAAUCAGGUACAGCUACGGAUGAACAUCAGGUUGUCUGGAUGCAAGGCCACCUGCCACCCCUCCCCCAAAGGGUCAGGGCAAGACCGGUAUCUGGGGAGGAGGAGCUCGGUGGCUCUUUCUGCCCUCGUGCCCCCUUCUCUUCUUUCUGAGCCCUGCCCUCCGUGCUUCUGCUUGGAGAACAGCACUGAAGCGGAAGCCUGUUCUAUGGCCAAGUCAACACAUCAGCUUUGAUCACAGUCCCCAUACUGCAGUGAGAAGCGUGAACUCUCUAAGACACAAUUAAAUGCUGAGAUUCUAGAACGUUAUUGACACCUUCGUAUGAUUUGUUUUGUUCCCCUUCCCUAGUGUUUUUUUCCCCUAAGGGGACUGGGGAAAUAAGUGAUUUUAAUGGUGAUAUUUCACUCUGGCACAACGCAUGUGCAGGGAAGAUUACAAGACACAGUCUUCCGAUGUGACUUGGUGAGCUGGCCGCGGGAGGGCGGCUCUCCUGUCUGCCCAAUUCGAAGUGACUUCCUUCCACCUGUAUGAAGCCCAGACUCUCCCAGACCCUGGGAGCUGGGCACAGAGGAGAUAGCACAUCUAGAACAUCGUUCAAAUUUUCCAAUCAUCACCUAGGAUUCGGGCCAUAGGGAAAAGACAUCCUUUAUUAUGCCCGAGGCGCUGGGGAAGCAGGGUCUGGACCUGGGGUGGCAGUAGGUCUGUGGCCCAUCAGCUAGCCCAUCCCUGAGGCUGCUGGCUCCCACAGCCCCCAGGCUGAGAUUGCUUGAGCACCCCGCCAGGGAGCCCCGUUCCCAACCCCAGACUGACCUCUCCUGGCCAGACCCUGCCAAGCAGCUUGGAAAAGAGAAAGGAUGAGGAGUCAUCCAUGUGUUCAUUGUUUUCUUACCACCUUCCCCCCAAAGAGAGGGAAGAAAGGGGACAAAGAGGAAAUCAGAAGGAGUAAGUUGGCCCUCCCACCCUCCAGCCUCCCCCUCUCCCCCAGACUCCCAGCUGUCGGCCUAAAAUCACAAAGCCUUUUCGCUCAAAAUCCAGAGGAAAAAAAAAAAGAGAGGAAAGCGGAGGGAAGAGAAGAAGCAGCAGUGAAUUUCAAAAGGAGGGCUAAUUUGUGCAGAGCCGGACAGCUGCAUUUGCAUAAUGAAAUGUGCAGAGGAUGUUUGGCUCAUGUAUUUUUUAGAAGGUUUAACUUUAAUUUUAUUUAGCCUAAGAAGGGCAUGUCACUCAAACUCCGCUGGUCAUUUAUAAAAAUAUUUCAAUUGUGUUUCCAAGGAGCUGUCUUUCUGGCCUAAGUGGCUGGUGCCGGAGGUUGUGAAUGCUAAUGCAGAGGUCGGGAGAUCGAUGGGGAGGGAGAGCAGGAGAGAAAAAACUGGGAGGGGCAGAGACACCCAGAAAGAGACACCGAAGACGCAAAGAAGAAAGGACAAGCAGGGAGACAAAGAAAGAAAGAGUGUGGAGUGGGACAAGGACCACCGGACUCAAAAGAAGCAGGUCAGGUAAAUAUCCACGGCAGGUGUGGAGAUGGGUAUUCCUAGUGGACCACACCUCGCUCAUGCAGGUCAGCCCAGCUCUCCCAGCCCAUGGUGUUCAGGUUUGUAGUUCAGGUAGAGCAUUGCUACUCUAAUCUCAAAACAAAACAAAAAAACCCCACAACUGUUUGCAAGAAGAGCACACUAGGACCAAGCUGUCUUCCUUCCACCCCUGGGUCCUGCACUGGAGGUGUUUUCUCCCAUCUGUAAUUCUGAACUUUAAUGAAGAAGCUUGAUCGUGGGCUGUUUGCAUGGGAAACGGGCAACGGAGGGCUGAGCUGAGCAUAGCUGUCACACUUCUUCCCUCUUGCCUUUCCGGCAACAAUUACCCUUCAACUCGCCUCCCUAGUUUCCACACAAACACCCCAGCCUCCUAAAUAAAGUGCUCUCAGACUUUUCA
ensembl:lncRNA